GCCGGGAGCGGUGGCACAUGCCUGUAGUCCCAGCUACUCGGCAGGCUGAGGAGGGAGGAUCGCUUGAGCCCAGGAGUUCUGGACUACAGUGCCCUACGACGAUCCGAUGUCCGCACUAAAUUAGGCAUCCAUAUGGUGGCCUUUAGGGAGCGGGGACCACCAGGUUGCCUAAGCUGGGGUGAACCUGACCAGGUUGGAAACGGAGCAGGUGAAAACUCCCGUGCUGAUCAGUAGUGGGACCGCACCUGUGAAUAGCCACUGCACUCCAAGCCUGGGCAACAAAGAAGAUGUCGUCUCUU
ensembl:misc_RNA Metazoa_SRP Metazoan signal recognition particle RNA